rnacentral:rRNA from 1 species
AGAUAUUAGGAGGAACACCAGUGGCGAAGGCGGCUUACUGGACUGUAACUGACGCUGAGUCACGAAAGCGUGGGUAGCAAACAGGAUUAGAUACCCUGGUAGUCCACGCUGUAAACGAUGAGUGCUAGGUGUUGGGUAGCGAUACUCAGUGCCGAAGUAAACACAAUAAGCACUCCGCCUGGGGAGUACGGUCGCAAGACUGAAACUCAAAGGAAUUGACGGGGACCCGCACAAGCAGCGGAGCAUGUGGUUUAAUUCGAAGCAACGCGAAGAACCUUACCUGGACUUGACAUCCCCUGCAUAUCUUAGAGAUAAGAGAAGCCCUUCGGGGCAGGGAGACAGGUGGUGCAUGGUUGUCGUCAGCUCGUGUCGUGAGAUGUUGGGUUAAGUCCCGCAACGAGCGCAACCCUUAUCCUUAGUUGCCAGCAGGUAAAGCUGGGCACUCUAAGGAGACUGCCGGUGAUAAACCGGAGGAAGGUGGGGAUGACGUCAAAUCAUCAUGCCCCUUAUGUCUUGGGCUACACACGUGCUACAAUGGUCGGUACAACGGGAAGCGAAGAAGUGAUUCGGAGCAAAUCCCAAUAAACCGAUCCCAGUUCGGAUUGCAGGCUGCAACUCGCCUGCAUGAAGUCGGAGUUGCUAGUAAUCGCGAAUCAGAACGUCGCGGUGAAUGCGUUCCCGGGUCUUGUACACACCGCCCGUCACACCAUGGAAGUUGGUAAUACCCGAAGUCGCUGAGCUAACCGCAAGGAGGCAGGCGCCGAAGGUAGGAUCAAUGACUGGGGUGAAGUCGUAACAAGGUAGCCGUAUCGGAAGGUGCGGCUG